rnacentral:lncRNA from 1 species
UAAUUUCGGUGUGACGCACGCAAGUGGCCUGGCUUUAGAGGCGUAGCUACACGGUAUUCUAUGGGCCAGCCCACAGGACCACCAAUCCUACCACGCACACAGCCAGCAGGCCGACUUGCAGGCCUGGAGCAAGUGCAAGGAUCAAUGCUAAAAAAAUCCUAAGCAGACAACCGGAAGUUCACGUCGUUGUGGCUCCUCCUCCUGCCCACGCUUGAUCGGCUGAAUGCUGAUCGCCUUGACCCGUGACGCCACCGGUCCAGCACAGCAUCAAGAAGGCUGAAGGCAAGAAGCACAGGCAGGCCGCACCAGCGCACCUAGCCACCUGCCGGUGCCGUGUCAUCGUCUGCCGAGCACCCGAGGCGGCCGAGCGUUCGUCUGCAGACCACAACAGAGAGGUUAAUUUUUUUUAGCAAACCCUAUUUUUAUCUUUGCAAUUUUAAUUAGUGAUGUUUCGUGAUUUUAGAAGAAGUUUUUAUGUAAAUAUGAAGUUCAUUAUUAAUGAAAUAAUUUUGAUGUUGUGCCCUAUCAAUUUACUUGUACAAUACAGUGAUUGAACAUUUUUGAACAUGAAGAGGGGUGGAGAUAUUGCUUCGCUUUUUCGAAAACAUGAAGCAAAGAAGCUUGCUACCUCCAUGGUAUAUGCUUCUUCAACUCCGGCAGUAAAUCAAGGGCAACCUAGUAAUGAACAAGAGGAAGAAA